rnacentral:miRNA from 1 species
GACGUCGAUAUACGACGCCAUCAACACGAUCAACUUUGAUGUUUAUGAUGUCGAUAUUCGACUUCAUAAACACGAUCAACUUUCGUGUUUAUGACGGCGAUAUUCGAGGUGAUAAACACGAUCAACUUUGGUGUUGAUAACGUCGAUAUUCGACGUCAUAAACACGAUCAACAUAGAUGUUUAUGACGUUGAUAUUCGACUUCAUAAACACGAUCAACUUUGAUGUUAAUGAGGUCGAUGUUCGACGGCAUAAACACGAUCAACUUUAGUGUUGAUGACGUCGAUAUGCGACGUC